rnacentral:misc_RNA from 1 species
GUGGAGGAGGUUAUGAAGGCGGCGAAGGGAGAGGAAAGAUGGGGAACGAAGGAGGUAGGACCACCGGCGGCAGACAAGGGAGAGAGAAGGGAGGGAGGCAGAGGGGACCCUGGAGAGGCAUUCUAAGAGAAGGUCAUCAGGGAGAGAGCAGAGGGUGGUGGAGGAGGAAGGGGAGAUAGUGAUGGGUUGAAUGGGAUUUGGAGAGAGAGAUUUGUUGGUGUCUUGUGGGUUGGGGAAGCAAGAUUUCAUUAGCCACGAGAAGUGGCGAGAAUUGCAGCUGUCUGACAUGGACUCAAGUUUCCUAUUUUGCAGCGCAACGGUGGAGCUUUGAGCGUCUAGGGACUUAAAAGGUGGGAUCUUCUG